rnacentral:rRNA from 1 species
AUCGAACGCUGGCGGCAGGCCUAACACAUGCAAGUCGAGCGGAUGAAGCGAGCUUGCUCCUGGAUUCAUCCGCGGACGGGUGAGUAAUGCCUAGGAAUCUGCCUGGUAGUGGGGGAUAACGUCCGGAAACGGGCUCUAAUACCGCAUACGUCCUUUGGUCGAAAGUGGAUGAUCUUCGGACCUCACGCUAUCAUAUUAGCAUAGGUCGGUUUAGCUAGUUGGUGGCGUAAAGGCCUAACAAGGCGACGAUCCGUAACUGGUCUGAGAGGAUGAUCAGUCACACUGGAACUGAGACACGGCCGAGACUCCGACGGGAGGAAGCAGUGGGGAAUAUUGGACGAUGGGCGAAAGCCUGAUCCAGCCAUGCCGGGUGUGUGAAGAAGGUCUUCGGAUGGGAGAGCACUGAAAGUUGGGGGGAAGGGCAGUAAGUUAAUACCUUGCGGUUUUGACAUUACCAACAGAAUAAGCACCGGCUAACUUCGUG